rnacentral:rRNA from 1 species
GACGAACGCUGGCGGCGUGCUUAACACAUGCAAGUCGAACGGUAAGGCCCUUCGGGGUACACGAGUGGCGAACGGGUGAGUAACACGUGGGUGAUUUGCCCUGCACUUCGGGAUAAGCCUGGGAAACUGGGUCUAAUACCGGAUAGGACCACUGCCUGCAUGGGUGGUGGUGGAAAGCUUUUGCGGUGUGGGAUGGGCCCGCGGCCUAUCAGCUGGUUGGUGGGGUGAUGGCCUACCAAGGCGUCGACGCGUAGCCGGCCUGAGAGGGUGUCCGGCCACACUGGGACUGGGGUCCGGCCCAGACCCCUACGGGAAGCAGCAGUGGGGAAUAUUGCACAAUGGGCGCAAGCCUGAUACAGCGGCGCCGCGUGGGGGAUGACGGCCUUCGGGUUGUAAACCUCUUUCAGCACAGACGAAGCGCAAGUGACGGUAUGUGCAGAAGAAGCACCGGCCAACUACGUGCCAGCCGCCGCGGUAA